GCGCUGGUGAUUCAGUGGUAGAGUUCUUACCUUCCAUGCUGGAGACCCAGGUUCCUUUCCUGGUCAGGGCA
rnacentral:tRNA from 1 species